UACGAAGGGGGCUAGCGUUGUUCGGAUUUACUGGGCGUAAAGCGCACGUAGGCGGAUCGAUCAGUCAGGGGUGAAAUCCCAGAGCUCAACUCUGGAACUGCCUUUGAUACUGUCGAUCUGGAGUAUGGAAGAGGUGAGUGGAAUUCCGGGUGUAGAGGUGAAAUUCGUAGAUAUUCGGAGGAACACCAGUGGCGAAGGCGGCUCACUGGUCCAUUACUGACGCUGAGGUGCGAAAGCGUGGGGAGCAAACAGG
rnacentral:rRNA from 1 species